UAGGGAAUCUUCGGCAAUGGGGGCAACCCUGACCGAGCAACGCCGCGUGAGUGAAGAAGGUUUUCGGAUCGUAAAGCUCUGUUGUAAGUCAAGAACGAGUGUGAGAGUGGAAAGUUCACACUGUGACGGGCUUCCCGCAAAAAGGGACGGCUAACUACGUGCCAGCAGCCGCGGUAAUACGUAGGUCCCGAGCGUUGUCCGGAUUUAUUGGGCGUAAAGCGAGCGCAGGCGGUUUGAUAAGUCUGAAGUUAAAGGCUGUGGCUCAACCAUAGUUCGCUUUGGAAACUGUCAAACUUGAGUGCAGAAGGGGAGAGUGGAAUUCCAUGUGUAGCGGUGAAAUGCGUAGAUAUAUGGAGGAACACCGGUGGCGAAAGCGGCUCUCUGGUCUGUAACUGACGCUGGGGCUCGAAAGCGUGGGGAGCGAACAGGAUUAGAUACCCUGGUAGUCCACGCCGUAAACGAUGAGUGCUAGGUGUUGGAUCCUUUCCGGGAUUCAGUGCCGCAGCUAACGCAUUAAGCACUCCGCCUGGGGAGUACGACCGCAAGGUUG
rnacentral:rRNA from 1 species